UCCAGACGCAGUUAAAGAAACCGCUCUCAGGCUGGACGAAGGCGGAGCCGUAGCACAAGCUGCUCCCACUGAAGAGCCCUAAAAUGCUCGGAGCAGGGCUAGGACAGCCCCCAGCGCGAGGCACUCUGGGACUUGUAGUUUACUUCCCGGCAAGCGUUUUUCCCAUUCCCGUCUCACCGCCUUAACGUCGCUUUUAUUGUCUCCCUCUUCUUCUAGCACGCCGACUUCCUGGUCGCCACACGUCCUCACGUAUGACUACACUACCCAGAAGUCUCUUCUUCGCGACCCAGCGCGCCGCGGGCACCGGCCGUCUCCUCUGGACUACAGUUCCCAGAAAUCCUCUGGAGAAGUGUUUGCCUCUCUCAUUUCCAGGACCACAAUUCCCAGAACCUUCAGCUGCACGGCGGUUCCCUUUUCACUCGAUCUCUUCAUGAGCUGGCUGGGCUUCAGCCGGCAAGCAGGCACUCAGCGACGACGUGAUUCGUCGGGACUGGGCACAGGGUUUCCUUAGCAGCCUGUUUUUCCCCCCACUCAGUUAUUCCCUUUACAGGCCGUCGCGGCUGGCCUGAGCGGUGACCUGGCGGGCCGCGCCUGCGCUCUGCCCCGUUUCCUGCCUGGCUGGUGGCGGUGGCCAUUUUGUUCAUCCUCCUCCUCCUCCUGCUCCUCCUGGUUGGAGCGCAGUGUCCGGAGCGGGCUGGGGGGAGAGAGCCCGAGAGCAGGGUUCGGUGGCUUUUCCUCUGUCCCCAGCCAGUGCCCGGAGCCCCCCUCCCCUUCCUCCCCACCCCCUCCCCUCCCCAGCCCUGCCCUCCCCCUUGUCCCGGGAUCGCUCCGUCGCACCCACCAUGAUGGAAGACGACGGGCAGCCCCGGACUCUAUACGUAGGUAACCUCUCCAGAGAUGUGACAGAAGUCCUUAUCCUUCAGUUAUUCAGUCAGAUCGGACCCUGUAAAAGCUGUAAAAUGAUAACAGAGCAACCCGAUAGCAGAAGGGUCAACUCUUCUGUUGGAUUUUCUGUUUUGCAGCAUACAAGCAAUGACCCAUAUUGCUUUGUGGAAUUUUAUGAACACAGAGAUGCAGCUGCUGCAUUAGCUGCUAUGAAUGGGAGAAAAAUUUUGGGAAAGGAGGUCAAAGUAAACUGGGCAACAACACCAAGUAGCCAGAAAAAAGAUACUUCCAAUCACUUCCAUGUGUUUGUUGGGGAUUUGAGUCCAGAAAUUACAACAGAAGAUAUCAAAUCAGCAUUUGCCCCCUUUGGUAAAAUAUCAAUUGCUCAUAAGAAUGGACAGGAUCUUGAAGGCUAACUGCAAGGAACUGUGCACACUGGAACUCAGUUCUGCCCAAACUCCAAAAUGAUGGUAGAGAAUUGACCAAGAAAAAUAAAGAAAUCUGUUAACAGGCCAUGGAUGCCCGAGUAGUUAAAGACAUGGCAACUGGAAAAUCCAAAGGCUAUGGUUUUGUAUCUUUUUAUAACAAACUGGAUGCAGAAAAUGCAAUUGUGCAUAUGGGAGGUCAGUGGUUGGGUGGUCGUCAGAUCAGAACUAACUGGGCCACACGUAAACCACCUGCACCUAAAAGUACACAAGAAAAUAACACUAAGCAGUUGAGAUUUGAAGAUGUAGUAAACCAGUCAAGUCCAAAAAAUUGUACUGUGUACUGUGGAGGAAUUGCCUCUGGGUUAACAGAUCAGCUUAUGAGACAGACUUUCUCACCAUUUGGACAAAUUAUGGAAAUAAGAGUUUUUCCAGAGAAAGGCUAUUCAUUUGUCAGAUUUUCAACCCACGAGAGUGCGGCCCAUGCCAUUGUUUCGGUGAAUGGCACUACAAUUGAAGGACAUGUUGUUAAAUGCUAUUGGGGUAAAGAAUCUCCUGAUAUGACUAAAAACUUCCAACAGGUCGACUAUAGUCAGUGGGGGCAGUGGAGCCAGGUUUAUGGAAACCCACAACAGUAUGGACAGUAUAUGGCAAACGGGUGGCAAGUACCACCUUACGGAGUAUACGGGCAACCGUGGAACCAGCAAGGAUUUGGAGUAGAUCAAUCACCUUCUGCUGCUUGGAUGGGUGGAUUUGGUGCUCAGCCUCCCCAAGGACAAGCUCCUCCCCCUGUAAUACCUCCUCCUAACCAAGCUGGAUAUGGUAUGGCAAGUUACCAAACACAGUGAGCUGGGACUCUAAACAAAAUUGUAAUUCAUGAUAGCUUCAGUUUCCUGUGACACUCUGAAGACAUGAAAGUAGACAUCGGAAAAUGAAAAUAUUUAUUUUAAAAAUUGAAAUGUUUGGAACCUUUAGCACAGCUUUGCUUUGGUGAAGGACACAUGUCUUCUAGUUCUGCC